rnacentral:rRNA from 1 species
UACGUAGGGCGCAAGCGUUGUCCGGAAUUAUUGGGCGUAAAGAGCUCGUAGGCGGCCUGUUGCGUCCGCUGUGAAAUCCCGGGGCUCAACCCCGGGCCUGCAGUGGAUACGGGCUGGCUGGAGGCAGGCAGGGGAGAACGGAAUUCCUGGUGUAGCGGUGAAAUGCGUAGAGAUCCGGAGGAACACCGACGGCGUAGGCAGCGCCCUAGACGAGACCUGACGCUCAGGCACGAAAGCGUGGGGAGCAAACAGG